rnacentral:rRNA from 1 species
GACGAACGCUGGCGGCGUGCUUAACACAUGCAAGUCGAACGGAAAGGCCCUGCUUUUGUGGGGUGCUCGAGUGGCGAACGGGUGAGUAACAUGUGAGUAUCCUGCCCUUGACUUUGGGAUAACUUCAGGCAACUGGGGAUAAUACCUGAUAGGAGCUCCUGCUGCAUGGUGGGGUUUGGAACGUUUCGGCGGUUGGGGAUGGACUCGCGGCUUAUCAGCUUGUGGGUGGGGUAGUGGCUUACCAAGGCUUCGACGGGUAGCCGGCCUGAGAGGGUGACCGGCGACAUGGGGACUGAGAUACGGCCCAGACGCCUACGGGAGGCAGCAGUGGGGAAUAUUGCACAAUGGGCGGAAGCCUGAGGCAGCAGCGCCGCGUGCGGGAUGACGGCCUUCGGGUUGUAAACCGCUUUCGCCUGUGACGAAGCGGGAGUGACGGUAAUGGGUAAAGAAGCACCGGCUAACUACGUG